UAGCCUUCAUCCAUCACUCCUUUUCACAUUUUGGCACAUGCCGAUCCAGUUCUUAACCGUGUGUAAUCCGCGCCCGUGAAGCCUGAUGUAUUGGCUAAAAUCGUUCAAAAAUCGUAGAAAAUUGUGCUAAAUUGUCCCCCGCUAACGCCAGGUCGUGCACCGAGUGUCGGUUCGUGAAAAAAAAGAGGUCAGCAGUCGUGUGAACAGAGGGAUAUCGAAUCCGUGAAAAAGCCCGUCGCCAGAAAGGAGAGGGAAGUAGUGAAACAGUUCCGGAAGCAGAACCUACAGAAGCAGCAAGAUGUCGUUCGAGGAAACAUCCGCCGAUCGCAAUGUGGAGAUUUGGAAGAUUAAGAAACUCAUCAAGAGUUUGGAAAUGGCUCGAGGCAAUGGCACGAGCAUGAUCUCGCUGAUCAUCCCACCGAAGGAUCAGAUCAGCCGAGUAAGCAAGAUGUUGGCCGACGAGUUCGGUACCGCUUCCAACAUCAAAUCCCGCGUCAACCGACUCUCCGUACUGGGUGCCAUUACCUCGGUCCAGCACCGGCUCAAACUAUACACCAAAGUGCCUCCGAAUGGACUCGUGAUCUACUGCGGUACGAUCGUCACCGAAGAGGGCAAGGAAAAGAAGGUCAACAUUGACUUUGAACCGUUCAAACCGAUCAAUACCUCUUUAUACUUAUGCGAUAAUAAGUUUCACACCGAAGCACUGACGGCUCUGCUGGCGGACGACAAUAAGUUUGGUUUCAUCGUGAUGGACGGUAACGGUGCACUGUUCGGAACGCUCCAGGGUAACACCCGCGAAGUGCUGCACAAAUUCACUGUCGACCUGCCGAAGAAGCACGGCCGUGGUGGUCAGUCCGCGCUGCGUUUCGCCCGUCUCCGUAUGGAAAAGCGUCACAAUUACGUCCGAAAGGUAGCAGAGGUGGCCACCCAGCUGUUCAUCACCAACGACAAGCCAAACAUUGCCGGACUGAUCCUGGCCGGUAGUGCCGAUUUCAAAACGGAACUCAGCCAGUCAGAUAUGUUCGAUCCGCGAUUGCAAUCGAAAAUCAUCAAACUAGUGGACGUUUCGUACGGCGGUGAGAACGGUUUUAACCAAGCUAUCGAACUGGCAGCCGAAUCGCUGCAGAACGUGAAAUUCAUCCAAGAAAAGAAACUGAUCGGUCGAUACUUUGACGAAAUUUCACAGGAUACCGGCAAAUACUGCUUCGGUGUCGAGGACACGCUGAAGGCGCUGGAGCUGGGAUCAGUGGAAACGCUGAUCUGCUGGGAGAACUUGGACAUUCAACGUUAUGUGCUGAAGAAUCACGUCAGUGCGACGUCCACCACAGUAUUGCAUCUGACUCCUGAACAGGAAAAGGACAAGUCCCACUUCACCGACAAGGAGAGUGGCGUGGAGAUGGAAUUGGUUGAAUCUCAGCCACUGUUGGAAUGGCUUGCAAACAACUACAAGAGUUUUGGUGCUACUUUGGAAAUUAUCACUGACAAGUCCCAGGAAGGCAGCCAGUUUGUACGAGGUUUUGGUGGAAUAGGAGGAAUUUUACGCUACAAGGUGGACUUCCAGUCUCUGCAGGCUGACGAGCCUCUGGACGACGUUGACCUUGACGAUUACUAAAUCAAUUACUUUUAAAUACUCGACAACCAGCAUCCAUGGGACUGCGCGUACUCUCUCUGUGACGAAACCGUAGCGGAACAGACACGGACGGACACACACACACGUAUAAGAACACACAGACACGGAGAAAUUUCUCGACUCUCUUUGAAAAAAUGAUCUGAAACAAGAAAAUCAGAUUAACGGACACGUUCAAGCCGAGUUUUUUUUUGCGAAACAAUAGAUUGUGAAAUCUAGAGAAUAACAAAUUGUAAACAGCGAAACAGAAAACCAAAAUUCCGGAGAAAUAAUACGAAUCACAAAAAAACAGUAAAAUAAACACACUGACACACACAAACAUAUAACAGUAAAAAAUAGUUAAUAUAAUCAGCAAAAAAUAUAAUCGGUCAACUGGUAAAUGGGGUGCGACUGACUUGAAGGAGAGGUCACACACACUAAAAUCGGUUCCGAGCCCGAGCGUGAGCGUGUACUUAAUAGUAGAUAAAAGAACGAACCUAGAAGCCAUAUUUAUAUAAAUAUUGAUGGGCAUCCUUUGGAAGGAAGGGGAGAUAGGGAACAACGUUAACGUGAAGUUGGUUGAAUUGUGAUUGUUCAUUGCCUAAAUCAAGAUAAGUUUGUAGUUGAUUUGAGACCAACAUGAAUGAUAUCUGAAAAAUGUGUUUCUAUGCUCAAGGAGUCGCUACUGUUAAAAAAUAUCUCAGAAAGCUCAUCAAUAUGAGGUCAACCCGCCUAGGGCUGAAAAUCUUAAUAUGUAAUGAAGAAAGUCAGUAAAAAAACUCAAAAAUCACUUCUUUAAAAGAAUUAUUGACGUUCUUUACAUGGCUGUCCUAUACCUAUAAAUAUGAUUAAUAUUAUAUAGUAUUGGACAAAAACGACAGCUUAGUCGUUGAAAGCUUCCAAAAUAAUUUUACCAAAAAGACCAUCUUUGCAGUUGCUAUUCUGUUUUCAAAAGUUCUGUUUCAAAGUAUGUAACUUAAUGUAAGUCGCUCCGUCAUAGGCUCUCUUUCAUUCUGAUUGGAUUUCUAGACUAAUAGUUAUCCCAUAGUUGCUAAUAGGCCCUUUGAGAAAUCUUACUUCAUUUUCCGAAAGUUUCCUCAUCUCUCUUGUCAUUCAUUUCCAGCAAAAUUAAAGUUUUACAAAGUUUCAUAUCCAUAGAUUUUUUUCAAAGCAUAAUCAUAAGCUAUUGUUCAAUAAUGAAAUUAUCUGUAAAUCUUGCUAUGUGACCUAACACAUAUGAAGGGCCAAGAAAGAUUGACGAAUACGUGUAUUCAAAAGCACUUACGCGAAUGUCGUAAAAGCAAGAAAGAAUUGUCCUAUUUUUCGUUGGCAAACGAAUUAUCCAAGCAAGAGCUUCAUUAACAUUUCAAUGAAAAGACAACUUAUGGUGUUUUAUAUAAAAAAUACACCAAAAGUUGUUUCUGUCAUGGCAAUUUAAUUGUGCCGAACUCCCUUGCAACAUACAGAUCUUUUCCACAAUUAGGCAAUGAUCAACAUUCAAAUAACGCGAACCUGUCAUUCAGUUCUUUUGCUUUUGCUGUAUCUUACUCUCGUAGGACCUACGACCGAGAUAGACCAUACCACGAAAUAUCCAUUGAAAUCUUCAAAAAUUUCCUACCCUCUGAAAUCCAAAGGAUGCCCGAUUUUUAUGAUGAUAUAUCAUUGAGUGGAAAACACAAAAGCUGUAUAAUAACAAUUACUACCCCCUAACAAUAAAAAUCAAUCGAAAUUUGAGAAAAAAAAAAAACACGAUACCGAACUAGGACGCAGCCAGGGUUGAUUGAAAUUAUCGCGAAUUACCCCUUAAGUAAAAAUACCAAAACCAAACACUGAAACAAUAAAAGCAACGUUACGAGUUCGCCUCCUCGGUAUGAUUUUUGUCUUCUCCGAAGUUUCUCGGAACAAAUUCUUUACAGUUCAAAACGUGGCAUGGUAGGUAAAACGUUAAAUUGAAGACUGCGUCCUGUGCAAGUAGAUGGUCGUUAUUUUGCCAGAGAAUGUUAGGAUUCGAAUGGUUUUAGAUUUGUUCAUUGGGCAACUUUUAUUAGAAGAAACAGGACAGACACAGAGCCGCAGAAGACGUGAUUGGUGUUCAUCGUGCGACCUUACUUAGAGACCCGAUUUUCCAAACACAGGAAUAUUGACCGAUCGACGUUCUCGUUGACAAAACGGAAGCACACUGUUCUACAUUUUGGGUUCACAAAGUUUCGUGUAUUCUUCGGAAAGUAGAGUACAUAUGCACGCACUUGAGACGCUGAUGGGUAGAUAGGAUAAGAGGUAUUUUGCGCUACAAGGUAGAUUUCCAAAGCAUGCAACUAGAUGAAUUGGACAACGACGGUUUCGAUUUAGAUGAUUAUUAAAUUUUUAUGUUUAUGAAUGGUAUCAGUUAUACACACACAGGUUAGAAAAUAUACAAAGGAAAAUAAGAGACACUGCAGUGGAAACACACAAA